rnacentral:rRNA from 1 species
GUGUCAGCAGCCGCGGUAACACGUAGGGUCCGAGCGUUGUCCGGAAUUACUGGGCGUAAAGCGCGCGCAGGCGGUCGGGUUCGUCGCUGGUGAAAGCCCCACGCUCAACGUGGGAAGGUCCGGCGAGACAGCCCGACUGGAGGCAGGGAGAGGUCGGUGGAAUUCCGGGUGUAGUGGUGAAAUGCGUAGAGAUCCGGAGGAACACCAGAGGCGAAGGCGGCCGACUGGACCUGACCUGACGCUGAGGCGCGAAGGCGUGGGGAGCGAACGGGAUUAGAUACCCCCGUAGUCC